AUUGAACGCUGGCGGUAGGCCUAACACAUGCAAGUCGAACGCGAAAGUCCUGGAGUGAGUAGAGUGGCGGACGGGUGAGUAACGCGUAGGAAUCUAUCCUGUAGUGGGGGAGUAACGUUUCGAAAGGAACGCUAAUACCGCAUACGCCCCAACGGGGGAAAGGCGGGGGAGUCUUCGGACCUCGUGCUAUAGGAGGAGCCUGCGUCGGAUUAGCUAGUUGGUGAGGUAAAGGCUCACCAAGGCGACGAUCCGUAGCUGGUCUGAGAGGAUGAUCAGCCACACCGGAACUGAGACACGGUCCGGACUCCUACGGGAGGCAGCAGUGGGGAAUAUUGCGCAAUGGGCGAAAGCCUGACGCAGCCAUACCGCGUGUGUGAAGAAGGCC
rnacentral:rRNA from 1 species